AAUUUUUAUUUAAAUAAAGCGACAUGUGACCACAUAUGGAAGAAUUCGAGGUCUGAUAUUGAGAUCCCAGUUAAUUGUCAUCCUGAAAAAGAAACUUUUCAACGAGACAGCCGAAUGGUGGGACACAUUGUCUGCUAGUAUAUUUAGGGAUGAGUAUCCUAGGUAUCCCACCAUCGAUGAAAUUAGCAUAACGGAAGAUGAAAAGACCUAUUCUGUGGAUUUGAGACCCUUCAUGAACAGCUCUCCGUACACAGUGUUACAUAAUACAUCACUGCCGCGAAUGUUCAGGCUUUUUAGAGGGCUGGGCCUGCGUCAUUUGCCGAUCGUUAAUGAUACUAAUGAGGUAAUCGGAAUGGUUACGAGAAAAGAUCUGGCUCGUUACAGAGUUUGGGUACAUAGGGGUCGUAUGGGUCUUGAUGAGCUACUAAUGUCUAAGGAAAUUUAAUAAAUGGUAAUUAAGCGAUGUCAUAGUAAAAUUUAUUUAUUGACGACUUGUUCUGAUACUAAGUGUAAAUUUGUUUCUUUGUUUUUGUAAUAUACUUUAAUAUUAACCCCA